CAUGCAAGUCGAACGAUUAAACUUUCCUUCGGGGAAGAUAUAAAGUGGCGCACGGGUGAGUAACACGUAGGUAAUGUGCCUUUGGGUGGGGAAUAACUUAGGGAAACUUAAGCUAAUACCGCAUAAUGCGAUAACUUCUUCGGAAGAUUUUGUUAAAGAUUUAUCGCCUGAAGAGCAGCCUGCGGCAGAUUAGCUAGUUGGUAAGGUAACGGCUUACCAAGGCGACGAUCUGUAUCCGACCUGAGAGGGUGGUCGGACACACUGACACUGAAUAACGGGUCAGACUCCUACGGGAGGCAGCAGUCGGGAAUUUUGGGCAAUGGGCGAAAGCCUGACCCAGCAACGCCGCGUGAAGGAUGAAGUCUUUCGGGAUGUAAACUUCGUAAGAAUAGGAAGAAUAAAUGACGGUACUAUUUGUAAGGUCCGGCUAACUACGUGCCAGCAGCCGCGGUAAUACGUAGGGACCAAGCGUUGUUCGGAUUUACUGGGCGUAAAGGGCGCGUAGGCGGCGUGUCAAGUCAAUUGUGAAAUCUCCGAGCUUAACUCGGAACGGUCAAUUGAUACUGAUGUGCUAGAGUGCAGAAGGGGCAAUCGGAAUUCUUGGUGUAGCGGUGAAAUGCGUAGAUAUCAAGAGGAACACCUGAGGUGAAGACGGGUUGCUGGGCUGACACUGACGCUGAGGCGCGAAAGCUAGGGUAGCAAACGGGAUUAGAUACCCCGGUAGUCCUAGCCCUAAACGAUGAAUACUUGGUGUCUGGAAUAUUAAUUUUCCGGGGGCCGUCGCUAACGUUUU
rnacentral:rRNA from 1 species